CCUACGGGAGGCAGCAGUAGGGAAUCUUCCACAAUGGGCGAAAGCCUGAUGGAGCAACGCCGCGUGGGUGAAGAAGGUCUUCGGAUCGUAAAACCCUGUUGUUAGAGAAGAAAGUGCGUGAGAGUAACUGUUCACGUUUCGACGGUAUCUAACCAGAAAGCCACGGCUAACUACGUGCCAGCAGCCGCGGUAAUACGUAGGUGGCAAGCGUUAUCCGGGUUUAUUGGGCGUAAAGGGAACGCAGGCGGUCUUUUAAGUCUGAUGUGAAAGCCUUCGGCUUAACCGGAGUAGUGCAUUGGAAACUGGGAGACUUGAGUGCAGAAGAGGAGAGUGGAACUCCAUGUGUAGCGGUAAAAUGCGUAGAUAUAUGGAAGAACACCAGUGGCGAAAGCGGCUCUCUGGUCUGUAACUGACGCUGAGGUUCGAAAGCGUGGGUAGCAAACAGGAUUAGAUACCCUUGUAGUC
rnacentral:rRNA from 1 species